UGCGCGGAAGAUGUAACGGGGCUAAACCAUGCACCGAAGCUGCGGCAGCGACACUAUGUGUUGUUGGGUAGGGGAGCGUUCUGUAAGCCUGCGAAGGUGACCUGUGAGGGUUGCUGGAGGUAUCAGAAGUGCGAAUGCUGACAUAAGUAACGAUAAAGCGGGUGAAAAGCCCGCUCGCCGGAAGACCAAGGGUUCCUGUCCAACGUUAAUCGGGGCAGGGUGAGUCGACCCCUAAGGCGAGGCCGAAAGGCGUAGUCGAUGGGAAACAGGUUAAUAUUCCUGUACU
rnacentral:rRNA from 1 species